rnacentral:rRNA from 1 species
UGCGUAGGGGGCAAGCGUUGUCCGGAAUCAUUGGGCGUAAAGAGCGCGUAGGCGGCCCUGUAAGUCCGCUGUGAAAGUCAAGGGCUCAACCCUUGGAUGCCGGUGGAUACUGCAGGGCUAGAGUCCGGAAGAAGCGAGUGGAAUUCCUGGUGUAGCGGUGAAAUGCGCAGAUAUCAGGAGGAACACCGAUGGCGAAGGCAGCUCGCUGGGACGGUACUGACGCUGAGGCGCGAAAGCGUGGGGAGCAAACAGG